rnacentral:rRNA from 1 species
AUUGAACGCUGGCGGCAUGCUUUACACAUGCAAGUCGAACGGCAGCGCGGGCUUCGGCCUGGCGGCGAGUGGCGAACGGGUGAGUAAUGCAUCGGAGCGUGCCCAGUAGUGGGGGAUAGCCCGGCGAAAGCCGGAUUAAUACCGCAUACGACCUGAGGGUGAAAGCGGGGGACCGAAAGGCCUCGCGCUAUUGGAGCGGCCGAUGUCGGAUUAGCUAGUUGGUGGGGUAAAGGCUUACCAAGGCGACGAUCCGUAGCUGGUCUGAGAGGACGACCAGCCACACUGCGACUGAGACACGGCCCAGACUCCUACGGGAGGCAGCAGUGGGGAAUUUUGGACAAUGGGGGCAACCCUGAUCCAGCCAUGCCGCGUGCGGGAAGAAGGCCUUCGGGUUGUAAACCGCUUUUGUUCGGGAAGAAAUCCUCUGGGCUAAUACCCCGGGGGGAUGACGGUACCGGAAGAAUAAGCACCGGCUAACUACGUG